UACGAAGGGGGCUAGCGUUGCUCGGAAUCACUGGGCGUAAAGCGCACGUAGGCGGAUUGUUAAGUCAGGGGUGAAAUCCUGGAGCUCAACUCCAGAACUGCCUUUGAUACUGACGGUCUUGAGUUCGGGAGAGGUGAGUGGAACCGCGAGUGUAGAGGUGAAAUUCGUAGAUAUUCGCAAGAACACCAGUGGCGAAGGCGGCUCACUGGCCCGAUACUGACGCUGAGGUGCGAAAGCGUGGGGAGCAAACAGG
rnacentral:rRNA from 1 species